rnacentral:rRNA from 1 species
UACGUAGGUGGCAAGCGUUGUCCGGAUUUACUGGGCGUAAAGAGCGCGCAGGCGGUCGAGUAAGUCGAAUGUGAAAGCCCCCGGCUUAACUGGGGAGGGUCAUUCGAUACUGUUCGACUUGAAGGCAGGAGAGGGCAGCAGAAUUCCUGGUGUAGCGGUGAAAUGCGCAGAUAUCAGGAGGAACACCGGUGGCGAAGGCGGGUCUCUGGGACGGUACUGACGCUGAGACGCGAAAGCGUGGGGAGCGAACAGG